GACAGAGGGUGCAAACGUUGUUCGGAAUUACUGGGCGUAAAGCGCGUGUAGGCGGCUGCGCAAGUCGGAUGUGAAAUCCCAUGGCUCAACCAUGGAAGUGCACCCGAAACUGCGUAGCUAGAGUCUCGGAGAGGAAGGCGGAAUGCUUGGUGUAGAGGUGAAAUUCGUAGAUAUCAAGCGGAACACCGGUUGCGAAGGCGGCCUUCUGGACGAUGACUGACGCUGAGACGCGAAAGCGUGGGGAGCAAACAGG
rnacentral:rRNA from 1 species